rnacentral:pre_miRNA from 12 species
AGACGACGAGAGACUUUGUUCUUCGCGAAUCUUUUUGCGGUCUGGGCUUGCUGUAUAUAACUAUGUAGCCGGGAAGCCCUUACCCCAAAAAGCAUUCGAGGAGGACACAAUCGCCGAGGAAUCAU